rnacentral:tRNA from 1 species
GCCCGGUUAGCUCAAUCGGUAGAGCGUGAGACUCUUAAGGGGUACACGAAAUCUCAAGGUUGCGGGUUCGACCCCCGCAUCGGGCU